UUUGAUGGCGACCGGCGCACGGGUGAGUAACACGUAUCCAACCUGCCGAUGACUCGGGGGAUAGCCUUUCGAAAGAAAGAUUAAUACCCGAUGGCAUAGUUCUUCCGCAUGGUGGAACUAUUAAAGAAUUUCGGUCAUCGAUGGGGAUGCGUUCCAUUAGGUUGUUGGCGGGGUAACGGCCCACCAAGCCUUCGAUGGAUAGGGGUUCUGAGAGGAAGGUCCCCCACAUUGGAACUGAGACACGGUCCAAACUCCUACGGGAGGCAGCAUG
rnacentral:rRNA from 1 species